rnacentral:rRNA from 1 species
GAUGAACGCUAGCGGGAGGCUUAACACAUGCAAGCCGAGGGAGAAGUUGUUUUCGGACCACGUACACCGGCGGCCGGGUGAGUAACAUGUAUGCAACUUGCCUCUAUCAGUGGGAUAACCCGGGGAAACCCGGACUAAUACCGCAUAACAAAUGGAUCAGCAUUGAUUUAUUUUAAAAGAUUUAUCGGAUAGUGAUAGGGAGGCGUAGGAUUAGUUAGUUGGUGAGGUAAUGGCUAACCAAGACGAUGAUCCUUAGGAGGCAUGAGAGGGUGAUCUACCAGACUGGUACUGAGACACGGACUAGAAUGCGACGGGAGGCAGCAGUGAGGAAUAUUGGAGGAGGGGUGAGAGCCGGAUCAAGCCAUCCCGCGUGCAGGAAGACGGCCAUAGGGGUUGUAAACUGCUAUUAUACAGGAAUAAACCUACUCACGUGUGAGUAGUUGAAGGUACUGUAAGAAUAAGCAUCGGCUAACUCCGUG